rnacentral:rRNA from 1 species
GCGUGAGUGAAGAAGGCCUUAGGGUUGUAAAGCUCUUUCAGUGGUGACGAUGAUGACGGUAGCCACAGAAGAAGCCCCGGCUAACUCCGUGCCAGCAGCCGCGGUAAUACGGAGGGGGCAAGCGUUGUUCGGAAUUACUGGGCGUAAAGGGCGCGUAGGCGGCCUGGCAAGUUAGAGGUGAAAGCCCCGGGCUCAACCUGGGAAUAGCCUUUAAAACUGCUGAGCUUGAGUCCGGAAGAGGAUGGCGGAAUUCCCAGUGUAGAGGUGAAAUUCGU